rnacentral:misc_RNA from 1 species
CAGCAGGGGUGCACCAAUAACUGAAUGCCGCUGAGUUUUGACAUCCCUGGUUAUAGUUUAAUUUCGGGUCCACUGUUUGUGAUAAUGUGAAAUAUGUUGACAUUGUAGUAUCAAUUUGCAUUCGUCCAUAUGAUUUUGUAUACAAUUUAUUUUGCCAUUUAAGAAGCAAUAUAGAAAUCUACUGUGGAUGUAUGAAUGUUGAUAAGACUAGAUGUGUUCAAGCCAGUGUUAUUAGACCGGGCCUGGGCUCUCGGGUUGAUCCGGUGAUUUAGUCUUAUCAACAUUCAUACAUCCAC